GUGCCAGCCGCCGCGGUAAUACGUAGGAGGCAAACGUUGUCCGGAUUUACUGGGUGUAAAGGGUGCUCAGGCGGUCUUGUAAGUCAGUGGUGAAAUCCCGGGGCUCAACUCCGGAACUGCCUUUGAUACUGCAAGGCUUGAGUAUGGAAGAGGUGGAUGGAAUUUCUGGUGUAGCAGUGAAAUGCGUAGAUAUCAGAAAGAACACCAGUGGCGAAGGCGGUCUACUGGUCCAUUACUGACGCUAAAGCACGAAAGCGUGGGGAGCAAACAGGAUUAGAAACCCCCGUAGUCC
rnacentral:rRNA from 1 species